UAGUCAUAUGCUUGUCUCAAAGAUUAAGCCAUGCAUGUCUAAGUAUACGCGAUAUACAGUGAAACUGCGAAUGGCUCAUUAAAUCAGUUAUCGUUUAUUUGAUAGUACUUACUACAUGGAUAUCCGUGGUAAUUCUAGAGCUAAUACAUGCCUUUCUUGCAUUUAUUAGAUAAACCGACGUUUUGGCGAUUCAUAAUAACUUGCGGACCCCUGCGGGGGCGGUUCAUUCAAAUUUCUGCCCUAUCAACUUUCGAUGGUAGGAUAGAGGCCUACCAUGG
rnacentral:rRNA from 1 species